rnacentral:rRNA from 1 species
GACGAACGCUGGCGGCGUGCCUAAUACAUGCAAGUCGAGCGGACUUGAAGGAGUGCUUGCACUCCUGAGAGUUAGCGGCGGACGGGUGAGUAACACGUAGGCAACCUGCCCUCAAGACUGGGAUAACUACCGGAAACGGUAGCUAAUACCGGAUAAUUUAUUACAUAGCAUUAUGUGAUAAUGAAAGACGGAGCAAUCUGUCACUUGGGGAUGGGCCUGCGGCGCAUUAGCUAGUUGGUGGGGUAACGGCCCACCAAGGCGACGAUGCGUAGCCGACCUGAGAGGGUGAACGGCCACACUGGGACUGAGACACGGCCCAGACUCCUACGGGAGGCAGCAGUAGGGAAUCUUCCGCAAUGGGCGAAAGCCUGACGGGGCAACGCCGCGUGAGUGAUGAAGGUUUUCGGAUCGUAAAGCUCUGUUGCCAAGGAAGAACGUCUCAUAGAGUAACUGCUAUGAGAGUGACGGUACUUGAGAAGAAAGCCCCGGCUAACUACGUG